AGUUGAGAGGUGAUAUCCACCUUUGGGUUUCAGGACUGAAGACGAAGAGCCUUGCCAUGAACAUGAAAAUGACAGCUCGCUGGGGAAUGGGUGGGGCCCCUGCCUGUUGAGAUGUGUUGACAACCCACACGUGUGGCCCUUCACUUACAUCCUCCAGGGAGCCUUAUAAGCAGAACUUAUAGUUGGAUAACUGUUUAGAUGCAGAACAUGCUGCCUCUCUGCAAAGGCACUUGUGCCUGAUGAUAGUUAAGAUAACGCAUGUUGUCUGUCUGCUGGAGUAAGGAAAGCUGGCAGAAGAGAUCAAGUCUAGGGCUUCAUUCAGGAGGCAACAGAAGAGUUGAAGAGCUAGUAAACAGACUGGGAACAGGGCCAAUAUAGUCAUAUUCGUUCCGCCAUUGACCUUGGGCAGGCUCUCCAAGUUAAUUGGAUUUCCAGGCUCUGCAGCCAGUCACUGCAAUUGAUCCUUGAAAAGAUGGAUUUAUUGCUUAGACAGGCAGAAUUCUGACAAUCUUCAGAGGUUGGAAAAUAAAAGAAAACAGCCCAUACACAGAGCACUGUGGGUCACCAUUGGGUCAGACCAGGAAGAUAUGUUACAGCCAGCAGGUUCAUGCCAGAAGUUCAGCACCAGGAGUCUUCUUGCUAAAUGUGCAGCACCAGGAUCCAGUGGAAUCUUUUGUAGGAUAUUGUCAGUCAUACAUGCUUAGGAGGAAAUAUAGCUUAAGAUGGAGACACCAAGGUAGAUAUUAGAUCCCAGAAAUGUUGGAAAAUUAGCUAAACUUGAAACAGCUCACAACCUUGGUGGCUCACUCUGGAAUGGGACCUUAUUUUCCCUGCUGGGUAGCCCUGUUGGAAUGGCAUAAUGGCUGGGGGGCGGGGGGCAGAAUCAGUAUGGAACUCCUGUCUUCAGCUACUCUUUGCAGAGGGUUCUGGAAAUUUGCCAGUGAUAAGCAGCAGAACAUUACCCUCAGUUCUCCAAAAGUCUGACAUCCGUUCAGCCAUUUGCAUAUCUUGCAUCCAUGCAUCAAUCCAUCCAUGUAAUAAUUUUUUAUUGAGCCCCUACUAUAUGCUAAUCCCUUAGCCUGGUGCUGAGCAUAGAGAAUGGAUAAUAAAACAGUAUUUCUUCACAAGAAUGGAAAAUAUUUGAUAAACUUAGAAUGAUGGGCUUAUUAAACUAUAGUGUUAUUUACAGCCAUAGUUCAUCAAUCACAAACACAAUAAUGUGUUUGCAUGACAUGUUACAACAGAAGCUUUAUUUGGUUUAUUCAGAAAGCAUUGGCAAAAUAAAUUUCAAAGGCAAAUUCACAGAUACAGGCUUCAAAGUAUAAAGUUGUACUUAACAAAAAAUACAGGUGCUACUUAUAACAAUAACUAAGAGAUACAAACUAAUGAUAAACUAUAAUUGCACAAAGGAUUGUAAACAUUUUGCACACUUGUCAGUCCUUUCUUUUGGGCAAGGUCAUAUUUUGAUGACAAAUAAAUUAACAGAUACACA